GAAAACACCAAGCCUAAUCCGAUCCACGGGCAAUCCUCUAGGGGAGUUCAUGGAAAGGAGCCGGGGAACCACCAGCAUUCAUCUGGGGUGAAUUCCCGCAAGAGCGGCGAUCUGAUCGCCGUGGAGUGGGGUAGGGAAGCUUCCGUCUCCCAACCCGACAGCUAACCCGGUAGGCGCACAGGAAGAUUUG
rnacentral:sRNA from 1 species